rnacentral:lncRNA from 1 species
CAGCUCUUUGAUUUUUCCUUUCCCUUUGGGGCCUGAGGAGGAUCUGGGGCCCAGAGGAGGAUGGGAGCCCACUCUUCCUCCCCCCACAGGUCAGUGGGCUGUUCUUCAAGAUCCCAAACCACAUGGCAUCUUCUGUUUUGCCACCUUCCUGGGCAUGCCCCUGGCUGGAGUUGGUUUCAUGAAGUGAAUGGUACCACGGGGACACAGGAGUCCUCUUCGGGGACCUGUCUGACAGCUCAGUCCAUACUGUUCCCAGGGCUGUUCUGGAUGCCCUGGUCCUGGCAGGCCUCAAGAGCAACUUCCUUCAUGCUGUUUGCCACAGUUUCAUCCCCUGGAGCAGGGCAGAGCAAGACCUUCUUGGAGGCCUCUGAGGAAAGUACAUAUUUGCCAAGAAAAGAAUUGUUUGUUUGUCUUGAUCGUCAUAUAGUGAGCUACUUUUAAACUCAGCAGUUUCAAACAAUGAACAGCAUCUCACAGUUCCACAAGCUAGAAACCAGGAGUGACUUCUCUGGUGGCUGUGGCCUGCGGUCUCAGCUAAAUUGUUUACAGGACUGAAGUGAUCUCAAGAGUGCUGGGGAUGAUGUGCCUGCAAACUCAGGCAUGUGGUAGGUAGCUUCGGGGCUUCUUUCCUUCCUGGCUGUGGCUCAGAGACAC